rnacentral:tRNA from 1 species
GCGGACCUGACGGGAACGGCAUACCUCGGCGGUUUAAACUCGCUGGCGUCCCGGUUCGAAUCCGGGGGUCCGCACCA